rnacentral:rRNA from 1 species
GACGAACGCUGGCGGCGUGCCUAACACAUGCAAGUCGAGCGAGUGGAUUCCCUUCGGGGAUGAAGCUAGCGGCGGACGGGUGAGUAACACGUGUGCAACCUGCCUUAUAGAGGGGGAUAGCCUUCCGCAAGGAAGAUUAAUACCGCAUAACAUCAGAUUAUCGCAUGGUAGUCUGAUCAAAGGAGCAAGCCACUAUACGAUGGGCCCGAGUCGCAUUAGCUAGUUGGUGAGGUAACGGCUGACCAAGGCGACGAUGCGUCGCCGACCUGAGAGGGUGAUCGGCCACUUUGGGACUGGGACACGGCCCAGACUCCUACGGGAGGCAGCAGUGGGGAAUAUUGCAAAAUGGGGGAAACCCUGAUGCAGCAACGCCGCGUGAGUGAUGAAGGCCUUCGGGUUGUAAAGCUCUUUGUUCAGGGACGAUAAUGACGGCACCUGAAGAACAAGCCACGGCUAACUACGUGCCAGCAGCCGCCGUAACAC